CAUGGUGUAAUGGUUAGCACGUCAGAUUCUGGAUCUGGAGGUGGUGGUUCGAAUCCAUCUG
rnacentral:tRNA from 1 species